GACGAACGCUGGCGGCGUGCCUAAUACAUGCAAGUCGAACGCAGUGGGGACGGGUGAGUAACACGUGGCUAACCUCCCCAUCAGAGGGGAUAAAACUUGGAAUCAGGUGCUAAACCUAUAUUUAUGGAUGGUCCCGCGGUUCAUUAGUCUGUUGGUGAGGUAACGGCUCACCAAGGCCACGAUGCAUAGCCGACCGGAGAGGGUGAUCGGCAACACUGGGACUGAGACACGGCCCAGACUCCUACGGGAGUCAGCGGUAGGGAAUCUUCGGCAAUGGACGAAAGUCUGACCGAGCAAUGCCGCGUGAGUGAAGAAGGUUUUCGGAGCGUAAAACUCUGUUGUUAGAGAAGCGGUAUCUAACCAGAAAGCCACGGCUAACUACGUGCCAGCAGCCGCGGUAAUUC
rnacentral:rRNA from 1 species